GCUGGGUGUGGUGGCGCACGCCUGUAAUCCCAGCGGCUCAGGAGGAUGAGGCAGGAGGAUUGAGAGUUCAAAGCCAGCCUCAG
rnacentral:sRNA from 1 species